CCAGCCUGCCCUUCUCAUUUCACAGCGCUCAUCGUGCUUACUGGGACGGGGUCUAAACUGAUGCUGGACAGCCUGCCCACGGGAGCUCCCUCACACCCCUGCCCAAGGACGGAAUUGGGCCCCAAGUCCUCUGGCUUCACUGAGUUUAAAGCAUCUCAGUUCACCUUAACUUGAAAAUGUGAAUGAAACCUUCCUUGGGAACUUACCAGACAUUACCUAAUCAGAGGAACCAAAUGCUUUUCUAAAUACAGCAGAAGCACCCGGCAGAGGCAUCGGGAAGGCUGGAGAGGCCCCCUGGACUGAAGACCCCACGGCAUUGGUAAUGCACUGGCCUUGAGGCCCAGGGAAUCACAGGAAAGCCAGCCGGUCACUUGUGGUUGGGCUGGGUCCUUCCUGUGCUUUACACACAAAAGAUUCCUGAUGCCCAGCUCAGGAGGUGGGAGCUGGGAGCAGCAGUGAAAGAAGAAAGGCAU
rnacentral:lncRNA from 1 species